rnacentral:rRNA from 1 species
AUACGUAGGGGGCGAGCGUUGUCCGGAAUGAUUGGGCGUAAAGGGCGCGUAGGCGGCCCGGUAAGUCUGGAGUGAAAGUCCUGUUUUUAAGAUGGGAAUUGCUUUGGAUACUGUCGGGCUUGAGAGCAGGAGAGGUAAGUGGAAUUCCCAGUGUAGCGGUGAAAUGCGUAGAGAUUGGGAGGAACACCAGUGGCGAAGGCGACUUACUGGACUGUAACUGACGCUGAGGCGCGAAAGUGUGGGGAGCAAACAGGAUUAGAUACCCUGGUAGUCCACACUGUAAACGAUGAAUGCUAGGUGUAGGGGGUAUCGACCCCUUCUGUGCCGCAGUCAACACAAUAAGCAUUCCGCCUGGGGAGUACGGCCGCAAGGUUGAAACUCAAAUGAAUUGACGGGG